GGGGGCGAUCGGUCUCGACAGGACGGAUGAAAUGAAAGAGGGCAUACCGAGGGUUCUUGGUCACCUCGUUAAUCCGACCGGAGAGAAAAAUAUCCUGAAUACGGAUACGCCUUAGCUGCAUAAUAAAGCGGCUACGUCCUCCUGGGUGGCCAACCCAGCCCAGGAUGUGGCGUCAUAUAGGGUUGAAACCUGAUAAUGCUUGCCUUAGGGAUUAUCAGGGAAACGAUUAAGGCUUUCUCAUACGGCCUGUCCCUUGGCGACGUAUGAGGAGACUCAUAAAGGGACUAAGUAUGUAGUCCUCUUCAUGGAAACGUUCUGGACGCGGGUUCGAUUCCCGCCGCCUCCAUCA
rnacentral:tmRNA from 1 species